rnacentral:rRNA from 1 species
UACGGAGGGUGCAAGCGUUGUUCGGAAUCACUGGGCGUAAAGCGCGUGUAGGCGGCUAUCUAAGUCUGAUGUGAAAGCCCUGGGCUCAACUCAGGAAGUGCAUUGGAUACUGGAUAGCUGGAGUACCGGAGAGGAGGGUGGAAUUCCUGGUGUAGCGGUGAAAUGCGUAGAUAUCAGGAGGAACACCGAUGGCGAAGGCAGGUCUCUGGGCCACUACUGACGCUGAGAAGCGAAAGCAUGGGGAGCGAACAGG